AUGUACGCCGUAACCUGUCCCUUAUCGAUCAUGCCACCACGGUCCACACAAUGGCUCACACUAACAAGAAAAGAAAAGAAAGAUGCAGUAAAAGACAUGCAGUUCAAUGACCAAGUCUUUGUGUGGUACACAAUCGUGGCCGAAGAUAUCAAAGUCUCCGACCUUGAUUCGGAGGAUUACAAGGAAUAUAAAAAGUUGCCUGUCGUUCUAACAAAGAUAAACGAUUCUUGUACUACCUCACCAAAUGAGCUGAUCCAGUUUGAUCCACCCGAGCUAAGCUUCCCUUGCCUGAACAAGACGUCACUCUCCUCAGUUAAUAUAAUCAACAUUACAGAUUGCUACAUUGGUUUCAAUUGUUGGAACCUCACUGAGUUUUCUGCGUGCCACGACAGACAGCCCCGUCAAGGAAUUCUGGCACCACGGUCCACUCAGAGAAUGGUUGUACAAUGUGUACCCAAGGAAAAUGAACCAGUAGAGGACAUGCAUUACAAAAAAAGCAUAUUCGUGUGGAACAUGAUUGUGGCUCAAGGUGUCGAAUCCAGCAGCUUGGAGGAUCAAUGCAGUGAUGAAGACAGUAAGGAGCUGCCCUUCAUUUUUAACAAUAAUAUAAGCAGCCCAUGUACCUCAACCUCAACCUCAGGAGACGAGCUGCUGAUCCGGUUGGACCAUCCUGCAGGGCUUGUCUUUCCGCGAAACAAGACAGGCUUGUUCUCAAUUAACAUUGUCAACGUUACCGAUUACUAUGUUGGUUUUCGUCUAUUUAAGCCCAGAGAAGAUGCGGCCGUGACCCGCCGUACACAUACUGAAGUAGGAAUUUUGGCACCACGGUCUGAUCAAAGACUCGUCGUAGCAAGGCUAAUAAAUGAAAAGGAACCACAAGACACAACAUACAACGACGACAAGCAGCUCUUAAUAUGGAAUGCCAUUGUCAGUGAAGGCGUCAAAGUCAGCGACCUUGAUUGUUCCAUAUGUCUCCAGAUAGAGAAGAGUAUCGAGUUGCCCUUGAUUUUUGAUAAGAUAACUUCAUCUACAUCAGUUGAGCUGAUCAAGUUUGAACCCCCCCAAGUCUGUUUCCCCUUCCUGCCAAGCAAACGUCUGUUAUCUCCAUUUAAGAUAGUCAACGUUACAGAUUAUCACAUUGGUUUCGGUACACGAGUUGAGGAAACAAAUGUGGCGUUGUACAUCACGGUGCCACCGUAUGGAAUCCUGCCACCACGGUCGACACAAGAACUGGUGGUAACAAGGGUCGCCAAGAAAGAGGCACCGGAACUGGAAGACAUGCAGUGCAAAGAUAAAUACUUUGUGUGGAGCUGCUUUGUGUCUCAAGAUGUCAACGCCAGCGAACUCACAAGAUAUAUGCCCCAAAGUGAGAGAAGGAAGUUGCCCAUAGUUUUUACGGAGACAAGCUCAAACGAGUUGGUUCAGUUUGAUCCUCCCGAGCUCAGCUUUCCUCUGUUGCCAAACCAGAGAGUCUUGUCGUCAACUAAGAUAGUCAAUAUUACAGAUCAGUACAUCGUUUCAGAGUAUGCACCAAGAAAAGCAAUUCAGCAAGGUACAACACAAAUCCGGCGGAAGGAAUUUUGCCACCGCUGUCCACGCAAGUAA
rnacentral:rRNA from 1 species